rnacentral:rRNA from 1 species
UACAGAGGGUGCGAGCGUUAAUUGGAUUUACUGGGCGUAAAGCGUGCGUAGGCGGCUUCUUAAGUCGGAUGUGAAAUCCCUGAGCUUAACUUAGGAAUUGCAUUCGAUACUGGGAAGCUAGAGUAUGGGAGAGGAUGGUAGAAUUCCAGGUGUAGCGGUAAAAUGCGUAGAGAUCUGGAGGAAUACCGAUGGCGAAGGCAGCCAUCUGGCCUAAUACUGACGCUGAGGUACGAAAGCAUGGGGAGCAAACAGG